rnacentral:sRNA from 1 species
UCCAUUAUUGAUGAAUAAAUUAGCGCAAGGCUCUUAAAGAGCCCUUCCCCUAAGCCCGAAACAGGAAUCGUUUCGGGCUAUUUUUU